rnacentral:tRNA from 1 species
GCCUGGGUGGCUCAGUGGUUGAGCACCUGUCUUUGGCUCAGGUCAUGAUCCCAGGGUCCUGGGAUCGUGUCCCACAUCAGGCU